CCCUAGUACCAACCGUCAGACAGGAAAGCCCUGGAGGAAAGAACUCUGUCUUUUCCUGCCACUGCUUCAGAGCAGACCAUCAGUAUGUGCUUACUGAAUCAGGGAAAAGGUACUUCUUCAGCUCCUUGAGAUCCAAAGUGGCUGACUCCUUUACAUCCAUCCUUCUGUCUUAUGUCCCGUAGAUGUCAUUUGACUUAAGGGAGAACACUGUUCCCCUGUGGUACUGCUAAUUCUAGUGCUCAGAACACUUGCCCAAACUUUAAAUAUGUUGUGAAAAAUCCACAGAAUCCCUUUCUUCUCAUGCUUUCUGCAAAGCCUUAUGGAACGAAUAUGGUAGAGAGGUGCUGAAUAGCAACUGUAUUUUUGAUUACCACCAACAAAUAACAAAAUAUAAGCAAUUCAGGCAAAACAGAAGAAAAAUACUUGCAUGUUGAAAACAGGAUAAAGAAUAUUGUUAAAUUUCCUCUUUUGAUAUAGACAUUUUCAGUGGGUUUCUUUCCUUGAAAGAAUAAGGCAAAUUGGGAAAAUAAAGCAUUCAAUCUUAUUAAAAGACACACAUUUAAGAAAAAAAAUACAAUAAAAAGGAAAAAAAUCAGGGAAAUGUGGAAGAAAAUCAAUAUAUUAUCUUUUAACAUAAUUUAGUCUUUUAGAUAUUUCUGUGGAACAGAAAAAGCAUUUUAAUUCAACAUCCUGUAUCACAUUAUAGCUUAAAUAGAGUGAAGUACAAAUAGUGAAAAAUAUAAUUUAGCCAAAAUUAUACCACUGGCCCAGAACUAUCUAGUUACCUGUUUUCUCUGUGUGAUUCUUGAUGUAUUCAAAAGAUGAGAGUAUCCAAGACUAGCAGCAUUACUCAUUGAGCAAAGGGACAGGGUGAGGAUUAACUUUGAAAUCAAGGUAGAUCUUUGUUAUUAAAUUGAACAGUAAAAUUGAAAAUCUGAAUCACAAAUCAGAGUCAAGGUGGAAGGAAGUUAACUCUGCUGUGUGUGGGAAGUGGCAUUGAAUAUUUAACAUAAUCUCAACUAUAACGAUCAGCCCUAAAAUAGCAAUUAAUACAACUAAUAAUAAACAGCACAGAAGCCAGCUCUUUUAUAUGAAUGACUUCAAACUAGCUGACAGUGAAUAUUUACCAGGAAUGCAUAGCAGACCAUGUUAAAAAUGUGUCAUUGUUCCAAAGUACAAUGACUGAGACAGCCUACAUUGAGCAGCACCUUUUGUAACAGCAGUAGAGAAAAAGCAUAGGAAAAAUUAAAAUGGUCUGACAAAACACCAGAACUACUUAAGCACAUUUCCAGCAUUUUCUAGGAUGACUACAAAAGUCAUGAUUCUACGAGUAGGUUAAGAUGAAGCCUUUGCUGUGUGAAAAGACUGUAAUUUUACAUUCCAGAAGCCAGUAAAGCUCCCAUUGUCCUUGGGACUAUUUCAUUUACACAUAUACACUGUUUACACAUAUGCCCACUAUACACUUUCACAUAUAGGUGCUUUAGUGUCAAAUCCUGCAAUACAGUUUUUUGAGGAAUAUUCUGAUUUGGACUAAUGGGUGUUUCACAGUAAAGUGAGAAGCUAAGAAUCCAGGUACAAAAUUUUAAAAAUGGAAUCCAUUUGCAUGACUGUUUGAAAGGGAUUAGUGGCAGCAGCAAGUAAGACAGACCAAACACAUCAAGAAUUUAAAUUUUCCAAAGUCAAUAAUUGGGAUGGACUUUCUUGUAGGAAAGGAUGAUGAUCAGCAACAUCUUAGUGUGAUGAAAAGUUUAUCAAAUUAACAUUAACUGGAGUACAAGGUUUCCCAUGAUGUGAGUAUUUUACAUCAAAAAUGUAUAUAUAUUACAAUUACUGUUUUUAUAUUCAAUAAAUUUAUGUCACUAGUACAGAGCUAAUUAGCAAAUAGGUUGAGGGACAUGUUUCAUGUAUUAGCUUAUGAAACAUUACAUAACUCAUUUUUAAAACUGAAUUUUCUUUUGGGGAGAGGGGAAAUGAGUUUAAAAGCAAAACAACAGAUUAAUUUAUGUAACAAAAUAAUAAUAAUUACAUAAUGCAGAGAUCUGAAGUUAGGCAAUUAUAGGUGGGCAUUUUCCAGGGACAAACUCAAGUGCUAGGUACAAGCACACCUAAUACUGUCUUACCUCUCCAGUCAUAACUGGACAAAAUUUUCCAUUAGGAGACAUGGAGGAGGUUUCAGCCUCAGAGUGACAAACAUUUUAUAAGCUGUGUACAGUGGUAUCAUUGAGGCUUGCACAUAGAAUCUUCUGGGUUCAUGUAGGAAGAUAUUCCUAACAUUCUGUUUACUUCAAGUCACCUCAUUUUGCCCUGAUUACUUCUGAAGAGCAGAAAAUUUGGUUAUAAGAAGCACUUCUAGGUUUUAACGAACACUGUUGGAGUUGGUGGUGGGGGGUGAAAGGACAGUAAACUGGGGGAUAAACAGGAACAACAGGCAAGGUUAGAAAAGGAAGUGGGAGAAGGUAGAAAAAUUUAUUUCCCCAUGAAAUAGAUCUACAAGCGUGUAAACGUUUCAUACUAAAACACUCGAACACACAAAGAUUGUACAGUUCCAGUGAAACACUCACAGUUAAAAAUUGCCUGUAUUUUUACUCUCUAGGAGCAAAUACAAGGAGCCAGCAGAUGAAUGCUUUCCCAGUCGCCUUUGGCAGCAAGCUUCCUCACAUUCCCUGACUGCUCAAGGGAUCAGCAAAACAACACGUAGCACAAUCAAGUACAAAGCCAGGAAAUCUUUUGCCUCGAAUGAGAUGGCCAUGCCCGGCACUGGAACAUCAUCUUCAUGGGCUGCACUGUAGCUGACAUUUGUCCGUACCGCAAAUGCAACGGGCUUUGUCUGAGAGGGGAAAGGGUGAGACAAAUUAAGACAUCAUUCCAGAAUGUGCCUCCUUCCUUGGCUCACUUCCUGUCAUCAGUUGUGCUGCCAGCAGAUCUGGAGCUUCACCCGGGAAUCUGCUUUCUAUCACACACACGGAGGAAAGAGAACAUCAGAGCCCCACCCUCAAUACCUUAACUUCAGGAACUGCACCCCUAACAUCCGAAUGGAGAACAGUGAAAGCAGGGACGGAAGAAAAGGCUCAACACAUAACUUCCCUCCGUGUCCUGCCUCCCUGAUGCUCCUCAGACCAAACUAGUCAGACCAGACAACCAUGCCGUGUGCCCUCCAUCACAUUCUCUCCAGUAUGAGACGAGGGCAAUGCACAGUCCUGAAAAGCAAGACCAAAAUGUGAACCAACAAACCCUGGCUUUGCGGAGGCCUCCCGGAAACCCCAGGGCAGAGUGGACCGUGGCGACAGGCAGAUAUAGAGCUCUGAGACAUGCCGGGACCCAAGAGGUGCUCUGGGCCUUGACAGAGCCAAGCUGCCCAGGACCCCAGAUCAGAAGCAAUGGCACGCUCUGAGAGGUGGGCUCUGCCCCAUGGGAAGGUUCUCUUCAAGCUUUCCUUUGCCCACCCUCCAACUCUGGGAAAGAUGGGGAAGAAAGGUAGAAAACAUAAAUAUAAAGAUGGCCCACAACCCUAGGUAGGGUCCUACCAGGAUGGACUAUUGUGGAAUGGGAUCUAAAUCCAGAUUUAGAUUCAUCCUCAUCCUACUCUACAGAAUCAUUAGGAUAUUUAGUUGAUUGAGAGGUCCUAUGAUCCUUAAUUACACUUCUGACACCAUUAAUAUCCUAAGAACCUUAUUAUCAGGCCAGUGCCAUAGCCUGAGUCUACUUCUGUUAUGGCCUGCUACCUGGAUCUCUGGCAAACUUGUUUUGUGGCUAUGGAGGGCUGAGCACAUGAUGCAGAUGCAUACUACCCUACCAGCCUUUGCUUCUCAUGCUCCAGUGCCAAGGUAAAAAAGAUGGAUCAACUCCUUUGCCUUUUUUGGUACCUUCUACCUGGCAUGUGCUAUGCAGCAUAAGGGUGGUUGGUGAACCACUCUUGUUUUGUAGUUGCCUUUCUGGCACCCAGAAUCAAAGUUUGCUGCACUUUAGCUUGGACACUAAACAGGAAAAGAUUUUCAAAUCAGUAAGUACCAAUUUGUAGAAGACUGGAGCAUCUCAUCAUCCAAACAAUUAGGCAGAAGUACUCGAACAACACUAAAGUUCUUUCAUUUUCCCACAGUAUCUUCAGUGUGUUUUCAAAUAUGUUUGAAGAAGGGAAUCAGUAAGUAAUACAGGCGCAGAGAAAUUAUUCUUCUCUUCCAAGCCCUUCUUUAUCUGGUACAUAGCAUAGCUUAUGAUAAUUAUAAAAGCUACCACUUUGGGAUGUCUUCACAGUGCUGAGCAGUGUGUGGUAUAUAUGCAUGCACUGUUGCAUUUAAUUGAAUCCCAGCAACAACUGUUGUUUCCCAGAUGAGGAAACUGAGGCUCAAAAAAGUUCUGGCUUGUCUGGCACACAAGCAAAAGAGAUGACAUUCAAACCCAACUAUCUCAACUCAAAACCCUGAGAUCUCUCUGUAGUGCCAGACUGCCUUUCAUUCACAGGGGCACACUGAUGGCAACUUAAGAGCAACUAGAUGUCCAUGAGAAAUCCUUAAUACUCAAAUAUUAUAUUUUACAAAAUGCUAAAAAAUUACUUGGUAUAGAAGAAAGUAAAAAAUUAGGCUCAAGUCUUCCCUGUAGCCUAAUUUAGUCCAUUUCUUUAAAAAAAGGAAAACACUAAAUGAGCAAUAUCACAUAUUAGAACUAUGGGCAUUUUUUGUGAAGGUCAUUCAUUUCUGCUUCUUUGCACUUUGUGGUACGAUCAAUUGUGGUACAAUAAAUCAAUAAUGUCAAAUCAUGGUU